AGAGUUUGAUCAUGGCUCAGAAUGAACGCUGGCGGCGUGCUUAACACAUGCAAGUCGUACGAGAACUCUUCUGCUUGCAGAAGAUAGUAAAGUGGCGCACGGGUGAGUAACGCGUGGGUAAUCUACCUUCGACUCGGGGAUAACAUUGCGAAAGCGAUGCUAAUACCGGAUGACAUCCCAAAUUCUUCGGAUUUUGGGAUCAAAGGUGGUCUCUACAUGUAAACUAUCGAUCGGAGAUGAGCCCGCGUACCAUUAGCUUGUUGGUAGGGUAACGGCCUACCAAGGCUACGAUGGUUAGCUGGUCUGAGAGGAUGAUCAGCCACACUGGAACUGACACACGGUCCAGACUCCUACGGGAGGCAGCAGUGAGGAAUUUUGCGCAAUGGGGGAAACCCUGACGCAGCAACGCCGCGUGAGUGAUGAAGGCUUUCGGGUCGUAAAGCUCUGUCGAGUGGGAAGAAGAAGUCCGAUGCAAAUACCAUCGGGAAUUGACGGUACCACUGAAGGAAGCACCGGCUAACUCCGUGCCAGCAGCCGCGGUAAUACGGGGGGUGCAAGCGUUAUUCGGAUUUAUUGGGCGUAAAGAGCGCGUAGGCGGCUCUAUAAGUCAGAUGUGAAAGCCCGGGGCUUAACCCCGGAAGUGCAUUUGAAACUAUAGGGCUUGAGUAUGGGAGAGGGAAGUGGAAUUCCUGGUGUAGAGGUGAAAUUCGUAGAUAUCAGGAGGAACACCGGUGGCGAAGGCGACUUCCUGGACCAAUACUGACGCUGAGGCGCGAAGGCGUGGGGAGCAAACAGGAUUAGAUACCCUAGUAGUCC
rnacentral:rRNA from 1 species